UGUGUAAAAGUCAAAAAGAGACAAAUUAUUGUUAAUAAUUUUAAUGGAACAAUCCCUCCUUACACAA
rnacentral:tRNA from 1 species